CAGUCGCCACGGUAAUACGAAGGGUGCAAGCGUUACUCGGAAUUACUGGGCGUAAAGCGUGCGUAGGUGGUGGUUUAAGUCCGUUGUGAAAGCCCUGGGCUCAACCUGGGAAUUGCAGUGGAUACUGGGUCACUAGAGUGUGGUAGAGGAUAGUGGAAUUUCCGGUGUAGCAGUGAGAUGCGUAGAGAUCGGAAGGAACAUCUGUGGCGAAGGCGACUAUCUGGGCCAACACUGACACUGAGGCACGAAAGCGUGGGGAGCAAACAGGAUUAGAUACCCGUGUAGUCCCUGUCUCUUAUAC
rnacentral:rRNA from 1 species